AGCACUUUUUACCAUCUCAUAUUAUUAUGGCUUCCUUGUUUCUGAUGAGGUAAAUUCACUUUCCACAGAGUAUACAUCAGACCUGCAUAGGACAAACUGUUGAGUUCUAUGGAUUUCUGCUCUGAGAGAAAAUUGCUCAGAGAACAAGUGGAAUCUGCACAUCUCAGAAUAUUCAAGACCAAACUGGACAAAGCGCUGUGCACUGCCACUUUGAAGCCUUCAGCAAGCAGUUAGCUGGUGAGUUCAUACUAGUGAUGAAGUCCCUGGGUGAAGUGUGUUCCUGGGCCAAGGGUCGGGAGAAGACUCGUGUAUAACUUAACUUUUUCUCUUAAAUAAAAUGUGAGUAUUAAAGAAUUCAUAAUCCAUGCUCAUCUAGGUUGAUUUCAUUCAAACAAAAUUCAGAAUUUAGAAGGAAGAUACACCAAUUAAAAUAUAAUCAAAAGACUGAUGUUUGGUUGAUGAAAAGAAGCUCAAAGACACUCAGUAUAAAUAAUAAAAAUAAAUUUAUAAGAGGCUAUGUAAUGCUCAAUGAACAUUAUAUAUACAUGUUACAUGGGUAGAAGAAAUCAGUAUAUUGUACUUUGGAAGACAGCAAACAGUAUUUGCAAAGCAACCUAUCAGACCCCAUAGUAACUGACUGACUGUAAAGCAAUUACUUGUAAUCUACUUACAGUAAUUUGUAAUUGGAUUUUUAAUGUAAAAUAUGACCAGAAAAAAGAGAUUAAUGGCAUUAUCUCUGACUAUAUUGGGUACAACAAACAUAGUAUAUUGAAGAACAAAUUUAAUGUAUAAAAAAAUGAAAGCUGGGUAGGAAAUAGUUUUUAAAGUUUCAUGUCAGAAUGAAUUCUGCACUUUCUAUCAUAAUCAGAUAGAAACUAAGCAGACAGAAGAAUCUGAAGUGCUGCAGCAAGUAAGGGCUUUAGCAUCAGUAUGAAGACAUUAAUGUGAAGGUCUGGUGUUCCCAGACCCAGGGUCAAAAAUCAUAACGGUCAAGACAGUUUGCAGCGAGGAAAAAGCACUCAACAAAUACUUAACAAAUACAAAUUUAUGGCAGUGUAAUUGCAAUAGACACUUUUACAGCACUGAUGGAAAGCACAUAUGAGGCUUCAUUUUUUUUUGUAAUAAACUUUCGUUGACAAAUUUUAGAUUUAAUUUCUGACUGGCUUUAUGUGUACUUCAAGGGGGGUGGUUGCAUUGCAAAUGAAUAUAUGCUAAUUUAAAGAGUGUGACUUACAGCUUGUCAUACCCUUUGCCUAAGGCACUUUGAUACUUAGAUUAUGUUAUCUACUCUUGUGUCUGGUCAUGUGAGAUAACACAGUUGUUAAGCAAGUCACAUUUAUUAUCUUCCUACAGUAUGUUCUCUUAUAAUGACAUGCUUACUUAGCAAUGGUGAGUACCUGGAGAAAAUCUGAAAUGGCUACACUCCUGUCAAAAACAAAAUAUGUGGAGUCAAAAUUCUUACAAUUCACAUGGCAUCAUUUGUGUUUCUCUAGAACGUGUCUGUGCUUUCGUGGGCAGUUGCUGUCUUGGAAAGAUGAAAUCUUAUUUCCUAUCAGCCUGAAUUUGUUACCAUCCAGAAACUUUCUCAUGGAUUCAAGCCUCCAAUUAAAGGAGCAUAAAUGUGUUUCUGUUGGUGAAGAUUAUUCUCUUUCUUAAGCCUACACCUAAAUAUGUAGUUUUAAACCUACACCCAUACUAGAACUUUUACCACUGUUAUUAUUCCAUAGAAUGCUAAGCAGCCUAUUGGAGUUCGACUCAAUGAUUCUUGUGAGUUCAUUCCAACUCAGUGCAUUCUAUCAUAUUAUGCUUUACUAAAAGCUUCACUAUCUAUACACAGCUUUAUUAUAUCACAGGGUACAUAAAGCUGAGAAAAGACAUUGACAAAAAAAAAAAACCAACAAAAACAAACAGGUUGCAUAAAUACUUUUCAUGGUAAAAGUCCUUCCUAUUUCUUCUUUAAGGAAUGGGCACCUGUCUGUAAAUAUUUUGGUGAUGUUUAUUGUUAGAGAGGUUAUUCUGCAGCACCAUUCAGUAUUGUUCAUAUAUGGGCCUAAUGAAUUGAGAACAAAACAGAAUUCCUCUACAUAAGCUUAAGCAAUAAAGGAAAAGUGUGUGAGAUGCUGCUUUGGAGUGCGUGUUUCUGUCAUGGGAUGAGUGGACUGUGUUAUAUGGCCCAGGAUUCAAAUGAAGGGAAGGAGGGAUGAAAGAUGGAGGAAGGGAAGGGAACAAGGGCAGGAUGCAGCUAAGCAAUGAUGUGUGCGAAAUGAGAUACUGGUUUGUUUGCAUCACUGUAAAGGAGGAGUUAGAAAGGAGUUAUGUUAGCCAGGAGGAAGACUACAGAGUGUUGUCAACACCUUGUUUCAGGGAAACACGCAAUGCCUCACCAGUCAGGUCAUUGGAGUAUAAAGGCCGUGAGGCUUGGAGGCAAUAAACCAGGUCAAGCCUUUGCACCAAGCCAAGGCUGUCAUCAUUUUCAAGAGACAAGAGCAAGGCUGCAGCCCCUGGAGAACAGAUUCGCUGACCCUGAGGUCUGACAGCACCGACUGCACUGCUAGCUGUGAAACUGUGGAGGAUGCCCUCAGCCUCAGGAAAGCACUCUUCUCAUGCUGCAUGAAAAUUUGCUUAGCUUUUUUCAGAUACCUGCCACACUUUGAUAAAUGACUAUUUUCCUGCAUUUGUUCACGAUCUCCCCUGAACUGCCGCUGGCUGGGUGAAAUAAUAAUAACAAAAAUGCCAAGACAAGUCUCACACACUGCAGGCACUGGUACUGCCCUUACAGCACACCGACUGCCAGGGAACAUCCAGAAAAGCCACUACAAACAGAAAGGAGAUUCUCUAGAGGCAAAGAAAUAUAGGCAUGAAAAAUAAAUGGAAUAUUUAGUAAAUUGCAUUCCUCAAAAAUUUUAGCUUUUUAACUAAAAAGUAGAUAUGAACUAAAACAGAAAGAAUAAAGAGAAAUUGACACAGACCCAUUACUUUCAGGGAACCUGUGUUUCCCACCUGAAGAUCAGACCUAAGGAAUUUAAAUGAAAACUUAAAUAAUUAAA